rnacentral:sRNA from 1 species
AUUCCAUCCUUGAAAAGCACAGUGUCCUCCCCACUGGGAAAACCAAUCCUUAAAAAACUUCUUUCUCAUUGCAAAUCGAAGGAGGCUGCCACUGCGCCCAGCCCCAGACUCCUCAGUCACUUACCUGGCAAGCUGAGGCCCUACCAAUUUAAGGAAUUACUCCUUCUACGUCCUCGACAACCAGAACUUGCAGCAACUAUGGGACUGGGACCACCGCAACCUGACCAUCAAAGCAGGGAAAAUGUACUUUGCUUUCAAUCCCAAAUUAUGUGUUUCUGAAAUUUACCGCAUGGAGGAAGUGACGGGGACUAAAGGACGCCAAAGCAAAGGGGACAUAAACACCAGGAACAACGGGGAGAGAGCCUCCUGUGAAAGUGAUGUCCUGCAUUUCACCUCCACCACCACGUCGAAGAAUCGCAUCAUCAUAACCUGGCACCGGUACCGGCCCCCUGACUACAGGGAUCUCAUCAGCUUCACCGUUUACUACAAGGAAGCACCCUUUAAGAAUGUCACGGAGUAUGAUGGGCAGGACGCCUGCGGCUCCAACAGCUGGAACAUGGUUGACG